rnacentral:rRNA from 1 species
UGGUGGAGUGAUUUGUCUGGUUAAUUCCGUUAACGAACGAGACCUCGACCUGCUAAAUAGUAUCGCGGAUUCUUCGGGAUCCGUAGGCACUUCUUAGAGGGACUAUCGGUGCGUAGCCGAUGGAAGUUCGAGGCAAUAACA